GGUGGUCACACUCAGUACUCUCGUUCUCAACGAAUACCUAUACUCUCGCUCCGGUGUCUCCACACUGUAGACUCAAGACUCAUCUAUCCUAAAGAAGCGAUCGUAUACCAACCUUUCGGAUCAAUCACCAUCCUCGUGAUGAUCCUAUGGUCAGGAGUAGUUUAUAAGUUAGUUAUGUAAAUUCAUGCCUUAAAUUUUCAACUCUUAAAAAUACAAAUUUACAUUCUCACUAACUUAAAGGAUGUAUCACAGAUACAAUGUACACAAUGUGAUAGAAGAAUAAUCCUUUUAUUUAUUUAUAGUCAAAAUUAUAAAUUUGCCCUUAGUUCUG
rnacentral:lncRNA from 1 species